AAUGUGAAUGAAUAUUCUUAGAAAGGUUAAGCUCAGGCUGGAGCCACACUAAAUUUAGGAAGACCUCUGUAAAAAGAGAAAAGACCAGAACUGGAGGCAGGCUGCAUCUGCCCUGUUUUUCUUUCCUAGAGUCAGUGGAUGUGUAGAUGCCGGUGGUUUGGGUUCCUUAAUGUAGGAAGACAGUGUAGCCACCUCUUGGAGGCAGAGGCUGCCCGGGGGCUUGGGAGGAGGGCGUGGAGCAGAGUUACUCAGGUGGCCUUUGAUGGGACUAGUCUUAAUACCAGUUUGGGUUGGUUCAGGCCGAGUCACCAGUGCUGGGACUGACAACGAUGGAUGGCUCCAUCCGUUGAAAAGCCAACUGGGAAGGACCUUUAGAGGUUAUUUAGCCCAACCCUUUCACUUCUUUGGGGGUGGGGUGGGGUGCAACAGUUUUGUUUAGAUAUAAUCCAUGUACCAUAUAAUUCACUUAUUUAAAGUGUAUAAUUCAGUGUUUUUUAUCUAUUCACUGACUUAGGUUUUGAGCACACGGUU